AUGAACGCUGGCGGCGUGCCUAACACAUGCAAGUCGAACGGGAAAGUCCGCAAGGAUGAGUAGAGUGGCGAACUGGUGCAUAACGCGUGGGAAACUGCCCUUGAGUGAAGGAUACCUUCGAGAAAUCGGAGCUAAUACUGCAUAAUCCCAGAAGAUGGGGAAAGAUGGCCUCAGCUAUCGCUGAAGGAUGUGCCUGCGUACUAUUAGCUGUUGGUGAGGUAAUGGCUCACCAAGGCGAAGAUGGUUAGCCGGCCUGAGAGGGUGUACGGCCACAUUGGGACUGAGAUACGGCCCAGACUCCUACGGGAGGCAGCAGUGGUGGAAUAUUGCACAAUGGACGGAAAGUCGGAUGCAGCGACGCCGCGUGGAGGAUGAAGGUCUUCGGAUUGUAAAACUCCUGUUGAGUGGGAAGAGAAAGGCGAUUACCUAAUACGUAAUUGGAGAUGACGGUACCACUAGAGAAAGCACCGGCAAACUUCGUGCACAGCAGCCGCGGUAGUGAAUACGAAGGGUGCAAGCGUUCUUCGGAGUUACUGGGCGUAAAGAGCGCGUAGGCGGUUUUUUAAGUCAUUGUUAAAUCUCCCGGCUUAAACCGGGAACCUGCAGGUGAUACUGGAGAACUAGAGUGUAAAGAGAGAAGUGGAAUUCUCGGAGAGUAGCGGUAAAAUGCGUAGAUCUCGAGAGGAACACCGGAGGACGAAGGCGGCUUCUUGGCUUACAACUGACGCUCAAGUGCGAAAAGCGUGGGGAGCAAACAGGAUUAGAUUACCCUGGUAGUCCACGCUGUAAACGAUGAUCACUUGGAUAUGGGUUUUGCAUAGCAGAAUCUGUGUCGCGAAGCUAACGCGUUAAGUGAUCCGCCUGGGGAGUACUGUCGCAAGAUUUAAAACUCAAAGAAAUUGACGGGGGGUCCGCCGCAAGCGGGUGGAAUGGAACAUGUGGUUUAAUUCGACACUACGCGAGGAACCUUACCUGGGCUUGACAUGUAACUGCUACUGGUAGAAAUACUGGGUUUUUGUAGAAUACAAACGGUUACACAGGUGCUGCAUGGCUGUCGUCAGCUCGUGUCGUGAGAUGUUGGGUUAAGUCCUUUAACGAGCCGCAACCUUGCCGUUAGUUGCUCAUCGCAACGAUAGCUACUCUAGCGGGACUGCCGAGGAAACUCGAGGAGGUGGGGAUGCACGCUCAAAGUCCUCAUGGCCCCUAUGUCCAGGGGCUACACACGUGUUACAAUGGCGUAGUACAAAGGGAAGCAAAGCCGGCGAGGUGAUAAGCUAAAUCCCAUAUAAACUAGUCUAAGUUCAGACUGAAGUCUGCAAUUGACUUCCAUUGAAGUUGAAACGCUUAGUAAUCGCGGUAUCAGAACGACCGCGGUGAAUACGUUCUCGGACCUUGUACAACACGCUCCUCGUCACACCACGAAAGCCGUCUGCACCCCGAAAUUGCCCAUAGCUAACCUGUAAGGGAGGCUGGCAAUGAAGGUGAAGAGGGUGAUUGGGGUG
rnacentral:rRNA from 1 species